UCAAUUGAACGAACCGCUCCCACGCACUACAUUGAGCUUGCCGGUUUUCCGGCUAUGACGAUAAAUGGCCUGUGUAAUAAACCUAUCGGACCCGGGGGCGGUACCCGGCGCCUCCACCAGAAACCAUCGUGAAGAUUGAAGCGAUGGCUUCUGAUGGGGGCGAAACAGGAUCGACGAGGGCGUAAAGACAGUGUUUUCGUUCGGCAUGGUACCCACCGUUAUCGGGCCAAACUCAAUAGUUGCAAACGACAACUAUGCGGAAGCACGUCUCGCUGCCUAAGGCGGUGUGACAGCUUCACAGAACUCCUGAGGGUUCGCACCUUCAGGCGGGGUUCGGAGGCACCUGNNNNNCCUGGCAACAGAAGCCUCCACU
rnacentral:tmRNA from 1 species